GUGGGGAAUUUUGGACAAUGGGGGCAACCCUGAUCCAGCCAUGCCGCGUGCGGGAAGAAGGCCUUCGGGUUGUAAACCGCUUUUGUCAGGGAAGAAAUCCUUUGGGUUAAUACCUCGGAGGGAUGACGGUACCUGAAGAAUAAGCACCGGCUAACUACGUGCCAGCAGCCGCGGUAAUACGUAGGGUGCGAGCGUUAAUCGGAAUUACUGGGCUUAAAGCGUGCGCAGGCGGUUUUGUAAGAUCGAUGUGAAAUCCCCGGGCUCAACCUGGGAACUGCAUUGGUGACUGCAAGGCUGGAGUGCGGCAGAGGGGGAUGGAAUUCCGCGUGUAGCAGUGAAAUGCGUAGAUAUGCGGAGGAACACCGAUGGCGAAGGCAAUCCCCUGGGCCUGCACUGACGCUCAUGCACGAAAGCGUGGGGAGCAAACAGGAUUAGAUACCCCUGUAGUCC
rnacentral:rRNA from 1 species